rnacentral:lncRNA from 1 species
UUACAUCGGCAGAUUAGAUAUCUUGUUAACACACACACUGUAGAGUUUCAACCCUUUUGAGGUAAGUUAGGGUCUAUAGGAUUCUUUGUACAAUAGUCUGUAUCUGUCCUUUGUCCCUUGUAAUGUUAUAUACAUAUCGCAGUCCAUUCUUUGAUAAGCUUCAGGGCAGAGUUGGGCGGUCAGUGUACACUAAUUGUAUGAAGAGGCCGGCCUGCAAAAAAUAAGAUCUCUUGUCAAGUGUACACUAGCUGUUUAAAGAGGCCUGCAAACAAUCAGAUCUGUUGUCAAGUGUACACUAGCUGUUUAAAGAGGCCUGCAAACAUUCAUAUCUGUUGUUAGAGCGAGCACUGCCAAUAAUAAUAAUGUUGGAACCCAUUCAUGAUUUUUCUUUAUCAACUGAACUGCUAAUGAACUAUACUAUGUUCCUCUCCACUUAAAAUAUGGAACGUGUAUUCUGGCAAUU